rnacentral:rRNA from 1 species
AACGAACGCUGGCGGCAUGCCUAACACAUGCAAGUCGAACGAGACCUUCGGGUCUAGUGGCGCACGGGUGCGUAACGCGUGGGAACCUGCCCUUAGGUUCGGAAUAACUCCCCGAAAGGGGUGCUAGUACCGGAUAAUGUCUUCGGACCAAAGAUUUAUCGCCUUUGGAUGGGCCCGCGUGGGAUUAGCUAGUUGGUAGGGUAAAAGCCUACCAAGGCGACGAUCCAUAACUGGUCUGAGAGGAUGAUCAGCCACACUGGGACUGAGACACGGCCCAGACUCCUACGGGAGGCAGCAGUGGGGAAUAUUGGACAAUGGGCGAAAGCCUGAUCCAGCAAUGCCGCGUGAGUGAUGAAGGCCUUAGGGUUGUAAAGCUCUUUUACCCGGGAUGAUAAUGACAGUACCGGGAGAAUAAGCUCCGGCUAACUCCGUG